AUUGAACGCUGGCGACAUGCCUUACACAUGCAAGUCGAGCGGCAGCACGGGUGCUUGCACCUGGUGGCGAGUGGCGAACGGGUGAGUAAUACAUCGGAACAUGUCCUGUAGUGGGGGAUAGCCCGGCGAAAGCCGGAUUAAUACCGCAUACGAUCUACGGAUGAAAGCGGGGGACCUUCGGGCCUCGCGCUAUAGGGUUGGCCGAUGGCUGAUUAGCUAGUUGGUGGGGUAAAGGCCUACCAAGGCGACGAUCAGUAGCUGGUCUGAGAGGACGACCAGCCACACUGGGACUGAGACACGGCCCAGACUCCUACGGGAGGCAGCAGUGGGGAAUUUUGGACAAUGGGCGAAAGCCUGAUCCAGCAAUGCCGCGUGUGUGAAGAAGGCCUUCGGGUUGUAAAGCACUUUUGUCCGGAAAGAAAUCCUUGGCCCUAAUACGGUCGGGGGAUGACGGUACCGGAAGAAUAAGCACCGGCUAACUACGUG
rnacentral:rRNA from 1 species